UUGACCUCAAAUCGGGUGGGACUACCCGCUGAACUUAAGCAUAUCAAUAAGCGGAGGAAAAGAAACUAACAAGGAUUCCCCUAGUAACGGCGAGUGAAGAGGGAAAAGCUCAAAUUUUGAAUCUGGUGUCUUUGACUCCCGAGUUGUAAUCUAGAGAAGUGUUUUCCGUCUCGGACCGUGCACAAGUUCCCUGGAACGGGGCGUCAUAGAGGGUGAGAAUCCCGUAUAUGGCACGGACUGCCGAUGCUUUUGUGAUACACUCUCAACGAGUCGAGUUGUUUGGGAAUGCAGCUCAAAAUGGGUGGUAAAUUCCAUCUAAAGCUAAAUAUUGGCGAGAGACCAAUAGCGAACAAGUACCGUGAGGGAAAGAUGAAAAGCACUUUGGAAAGAGAGUGAAACAGUACGUGAAAUUGUUGAAAGGGAAGCGUUUGAAGUCAGUCGUAUCUGGCGGGAUUCAGUCGAGCUUUUGCCCGGUGUACUUCUCGUCCGAUGGGUCAGCAUCAAUUUCGACCGGGGGAAAAAGAUGUGGGGAAUGUGGCUAUCUUCG
rnacentral:rRNA from 1 species